rfam:Andreprevotia lacus DSM 23236 genome assembly, contig: BR64DRAFT_scaffold00008.8
GCGGGCGUCGUCUAAUGGUAAGACACUAGCUUCCCAAGCUCGGAACACGGGUUCGAUUCCCGUCGCCCGCU